CCAUGCUUUGGCUGCCAUCUUGGAAAGGAGGGCGACAAGGUAGAGCAAUCUGAAACACAGAGCAGUUGUCCAAAGAAUCGAGUUAAGGCCCCCAAAACAGAUAAAAUUAUCUUGUCUUGCUGUGAUUCAGAUUAAACUAAGACUUCUUUUCCUGUUUACUCAAGAUGUAGACACUUGAUGAGAAACUGGUCUGGAGAAAUCUAGGAGCUAUAUUGUCUUUGGACAUCCAUAUUAGAGGAUGAGUAAAUUUGUAAUCCCAUUAAGUAUUUUUUGAGCUUUCCAACAGUUUUAAUUAUUAUUGGGAAAUAAAUCAGAGAAGUCUCUAAAGCAACAAAGAAUUAUUGAGGUUUCGUUUGUUUGGGGAUUUUAAGGUCUAGUACUGUGGUAUUUUUUGAUAAAGCAUCAGCUGUAAUAGCUUUGUAGUACAGUUAUCAAAUUAAAUAAAAAGGGAUGUAAGUAGUCAUAAAAAUUGCUCAUUAAAGCUGAUCGCCUUUUUUUAAAUGCCACCAAAGCUUUGGAGGGUGGAGAAUAACCCAGUUGAAAAUCUACAAGCAAUGCUGUCCACAUCCCAAAUAGACUGGUCAAAAAGCCUUCAUCCCGUCAGUCACUGACAUCAACUUCAUCCAAAUCAGACUCCUAAAAACCCGGCCUAACUUAUGUGUCAUGCAAAGGAUGGCUCUUGGAAAAAUGCAAAGAGUGGUCAGGAGAAGAAACCAACAAGAAAUGUAACCUACCUCCAGAACUCAGGAACUCAGGUACCCUUAAGGAUAUCAGAAACAAUGAAAUAUGGAUUGGCAGAAGCAUCUUCACCACCAUCUUCAGAUGUAAUUAAUGCAGCUGUUGAAUUUGGUUGACUAUCCACCUAUAAUUACCACAUUGCCCAUUACAGAUUUUUGCUGCCUUU
rnacentral:lncRNA from 1 species